CAACAUCACGCUCUUCCGCGGCCUCCUCUACUGGGUCGCGCAGCUGCUGGGCUCGACCGCGGCGUGCUUCCUGCUCCGCUUCUCCACGGGCGGGCUCCCCACGGGCACCUUCGGCCUGACCGGAGUCUCCGUGUGGGAGGCGCUGGUGCUGGAGAUCGUCAUGACCUUCGGCCUCGUCUACACCGUGUACGCCACCGCCGUCGACCCCAAGAAGGGCAGCAUCGGCACCAUCGCGCCGCUCGCGAUUGGGUUCAUUGUGGGAGCCAACAUCCUUGUUGGUGGCGCGUUUGAUGGCGCUUCCAUGAACCCGGCUGUUUCCUUUGGCCCGGCGUUGGUUAGCUGGGAAUGGGGGUACCAGUGGGUGUACUGGGUUGGCCCCCUCAUCGGCGGUGGCCUUGCUGGGGUGAUUUACGAGGUGCUCUUCAUCUCCCACACCCAUGAGCAGCUCCCCACCACCGACUACUAAGCAGAUCGAUGCAAGCUGCUUCUGCUUCCGAGUUCGUUCGGCCGGCGUCAAUGCCCUCCGUUUCGUCGUCUCAUCGUUUAGUUUCGUGAACCCAUGUCCGACUGCUGCUGCUUCGCGGCCAGCGUCGUUUG
rnacentral:lncRNA from 1 species